CCCGGCUGGCGUAAUUGGAUAACGCACCAGACUUCUAACUAUCUGGGGAUUGCGGGUUCGAGUCCCGCGUCGGGUA